UUCUGAGACCGGUUCGGAGAAUCCGCGUGUAUAUGAUGAUAUUGGAAUAUUACCCAUUCAAUCCGUCACUAUAGUGCAGGCGUCUGGUGCCCUUGAGGAUUGCGAUUGUAUUCUGGCACUUUUGGAAGCGUACGGAUUGCCAACAGCAAGAAGGCAGAGACUCGUAAAAUGGGG